rnacentral:rRNA from 2 species
UACGUAGGGGGCAAGCGUUGUCCGGAAUCAUUGGGCGUAAAGCGCGCGUAGGCGGCUCGAUCAGUCUGCUGUAAAAGUCAAAGGCUCAACCUUUGAAUGCCGGUGGAUACUGUCGGGCUAGAGUCCGGAAGAGGCGAGUGGAAUUCCUGGUGUAGCGGUGGAAUGCGCAGAUAUCAGGAGGAACACCAACGGCGAAGGCAGCUCGCUGGGACGGUACUGACGCUAAGGCGCGAAAGCGUGGGGAGCGAACAGG